rnacentral:rRNA from 1 species
CCAAUAGCGUAUAUUAAAGUUGUUGCAGUUAAAAAGCUCGUAGUUGAACUUCGGGGUUCACCCAUUGGUCAGGCUUAAUUGUCUGUACUGGUGAGAUGAGUCUCUACCUUCUGAGGAACUUUCAUGCCAUUUAUUUGGUGUGAUUGGAAAUCAGGACUGUUACUUUGAAAAAAUUAGAGUGUUUAAAGCAGGCUAACGUCUGAAUACAUUAGCAUGGAAUAAUGAAAUAGGACGGAUUGAUUCUAUUUCGUUGGUUUCUAGGAUCACCGUAAUGAUUAAUAGGGAUAGUUGGGGGCAUUAGUAUUCAAUUGUCAGAGGUGAAAUUCUUGGAUUUAUUGAAGACUAACUACUGCGAAAGCAUUUGCCAAGGAUGUUUUCAUUAAUCAAGAACGAAAGUUAGGGGAUCGAAGACGAUCAGAUACCGUCGUAGUCUUAACCAUAAACUAUGCCGACUAGGGAUCGGAUGAUGUUAAUUUUUUAAUGACUCAUUCGGCGCCUUACG